UACGUAGGCAGCGAGCGUUGUUCGGAGUUACUGGGCGUAAAGGGUAUGUAGGCGGUUGUUUAAGUUUGGUGUGAAAUCUCCCGGCUCAACUGGGAGGGUGCGCCGAAUACUGAAUGACUAGAGUGCGGGAGAGGUGAGUGGAAUUCCUGGUGUAGCGGUGAAAUGCGUAGAUAUCAGGAGGAACACCGGUGGCGAAGGCGGCAUCCUGGACCGGGCAUUGACGCUGAGGCGCGAAAGCCAGGGGAGCAAACGGG
rnacentral:rRNA from 1 species